rnacentral:rRNA from 1 species
UUACCCGGGAAGAUAAUGACUGUACCGGGAGAAUAAGCCCCGUUCUAACUCCGUGCCAGCAGCCGCGGUAAUACGGAGGGGGCUAGCGUUGUUCGGAAUUACUGGGCGUAAAGCGCACGUAGGCGGCUUUGUAAGUUAGAGGUGAAAGCCCGGGGCUCAACCCCGGAACUGCCUUUAAGACUGCAUCGCUUGAACAUCGGAGAGGUGAGUGGAAUUCCGAGUGUAGAGGUGAAAUACGUAGAUAUUCGGAAGAACACCAGUGGAGAAGGCGGCUCACUGGACGAUUGUUGACGCUGAGGUGCGAACGCGUGGGGAGCAAACAGGAUUAGAUACCCUGGUAGUCCACGCCUGUAUCGAUGAUAACUAGCCUGUCCUGUGGCACCUUGGUGCUUGGGCUGGCGCAGCUAACGCCUUAAGUUAUCCGCCUGAGGAUGACGAGCGAAAGGUUACAGUCAUAGAAAUUGAAGGGGGCCUGCCAAGCGGUGGAGCAUGUGGUUUA